AUUGUCUCUGACUCUCCUCUCUCUGAGAAGGAGAAGAAAUUCUUCUCUGUUAACAAUUGUUGCUCAAAUCUUCGUUUCUUUAUCAAGGUUGUUGCUUUCUUCAUCAAGGUUGUUUCAAUCUUCAUCAGAGGUAGAACUAUAGAAGACCUUCAAGUGGAUUUAUCUUCAGGGAAUCAGGGAUUUCUACCUAUUUGAUUGUUGGUUUACUAAUGAAACAACUAGUUGAUUUCCUUCAUCUUAUCAUCGUCGUCUUGUUUGUGUUUUACUUCUACUUCAAAUGG